rnacentral:lncRNA from 1 species
AAGCCUCAGGGACUGACCGCAGCCCCCAUUCCCCAUUCCCGUGCGCUGCCUGGGGGGGAGGAGGUGGAAGAGGUUGGAUGGGGGGAAGGUGUUUUUAGUUUACUUUUAGUUUCACACUGCUCUAGUCUGUUAGAAGUAAGCAAUAAAUUACAUUAAUCUUGCUACACUGAGUCUGGUGAGCCCAUGACAACAACUGGUGAGUGUCCUCUUUGUCCUUAUCUCAACUCUUGAUCCCUUUUCCAUCAUUUUUUCCCACUGGCCUUCUGAGGAAGGGAAGUGAGAGAGCGAUGUAGUGGUGUGAAGCAACCUACAGGUGUAAGACCGCCACACCUCUGACUUUUCAGAAUUUCACAGCACCCAAAAUUUAAUCCAUAUUCUCUGUGCAGACUGAGAAAAUUAUUAGGUCUGAUAUCCAUUUCAAGUAUUCACUGAGGGAGGAAUCGUUAAUCCAGCACAUCUAGGCACUAGGUGCAAUUGUUGCUGCAAUAAUUUCUAUUUUACUGGCUUCCCAGAUGCCAAUUUGUGGAUACAGUUUGAAGUCUUAUAACUGGUCUAUCUGUCAAGACUACCUUUUUUUUUUUCUCACUAGAAGACAUUAAACUACUUGUUCCAUAGACUGCUAAACUAACAAGGCAGCACUGUAACAUUCAGAAGUUACACUGUCCCUUUCUUGUUUUUUUUUGUAUACUCAGAUCCCUUUGUCUGUCCUGGAGCCUCUCCCACUACAGCCUUCUCCGAUGGGCUCUCAAAAACUUUCAGCAAUUCCUUCACUGGGACUCAACAGAAGAGCGUUCAUCAUCGCAGAGUAUUGGCUGCUGGAUGAUCCCGAGUAAACCUUGGGCUUAAUUGACAAGAAAAGCACAAUAAUAUCACAUUAUCUGUUCCUCACUGAAUGUGUUAGUGCUAUAGUACAGCCAGAAAUCUACUGCUGUCAUGUUAAGCCAAAGACAUUAAACAUGGUGUUUCCAGAUGGUUACAAGGGAGACAAACUCCUCUCUUACCUCCUUUAGCCUAAAGCAAUACUAAUAGUGGGCACUAUUUGUGUAAACACUGGAGACAAUUUUUUUCAUGAUUCUCCUGUAGGAGUCAUGGCAACCAGCUAUCACUAAAAUGAUGCUUUUAUUUUGGUUGUUCUCAGAGAAAAUGAAUUUUGGCAACAUAAGGUGCUAUGCACAUAAGUUUGAGAUAUUGUGAUUAAAUAAAAGUCAUCAUAAUCACUUCA